GAUCCUGGCUCAGGACGAACGCUGGCGGCGCGCCUAACACAUGCAAGUCGAACGAGCGAGAGAGAGCUUGCUUUCUCGAGCGAGUGGCGAACGGGUGAGUAACGCGUGAGGAACCUGCCUCAAAGAGGGGGACAACAGUUGGAAACGACUGCUAAUACCGCAUAAGCCCAUAACCCGGCAUCGGGUAGAGGGAAAAGGAGCAAUCCGCUUUGAGAUGGCCUCGCGUCCGAUUAGCUAGUUGGUG
rnacentral:rRNA from 1 species